AUAGCGUAUAUUAAAGUUGUUGCAGUUAAAAAGCUCGUAGUUGGAUUUCGGCGUGCGCUUGGGCUGGUCGGCCGUCAAGGUCUGUACCGUUCAGGUCACGCCCCACUGUAGGAUACUCACCGCUGUCCUUAACUGGGUGGCGGUAAAAGGUAUAGUCUAUGGGGGCAACUCUGUAGGUUAUUGCUGGGGUUCCUACUCUUUUACUUUGAGCAAAUUAGAGUGUUCAAAGCAGGCAAUCGGGCCUUGAAUACUUCAGCAUGGGAUAAUGGAACAGGACUGGGGUCCUGAUUUCGUUGGUUUCUAGGAUCUCAGUAAUGAUUAAUAGGGAUAGUUGGGGGCAUUAGUAUUUAAUUGUCAGAGGUGAAAUUCUUGGAUUUAUGAAAGACUAACUUCUG
rnacentral:rRNA from 1 species